AAACAGCCCCCUAUGUAUUGUAUCUUUGGCAGUUUUGGCCUCCAAUGCCACUUUUGACUUAGUCUUCGCUGACGUGACACCCACAAUGGUCGACAUGUGGCACCUCACUUAAGUGAUGUGGGUGCCACGUCAGCGAAGACUAAGUCAAAAGUGGCAUUGGGGGCCAAAACUGCCAAAGAUCCAAUACAUAGGGGGCUGUUU
rfam:Medicago truncatula strain A17 chromosome 5, whole genome shotgun sequence.